UACAGAGGUCCCAAGCGUUGUUCGGAUUCACUUGGCGUAAAGGGUGCUUAGGCGGUCGGGUCAGUCUGGCGUGAAAUCUCCAAGCCUAACUUGGAAACUGCGUUGGAUACUAUCCGGCUCGAGGAAUGGAGGGGAGACUGGAAUACUUGGUGUAGCAGUGAAAUGCGUAGAUAUCAAGUGGAACACCAGUGGCGAAGGCGAGUCUCUGGACAUUUCCUGACGCUGAGGCACGAAAGCCAGGGGAGCAAACGGG
rnacentral:rRNA from 1 species